AAUCCCCUGCGGUGUGCGUCAAGGCCAUACAUUCCUUGAACCAAUGCGAAGGCAUCGGGCCGCGGACCAACGACGCCGCUGUUGUGAACGCUCCUUCGUCGAGCGUACCUGAAGCGGCAGGAAAGCAGCCACUCUGAACCCAGGUUCAGGAUGCCGGCCUAACGGCACAGGCGGGGGACCC
rnacentral:other from 1 species